AUAACAGUUACAUAUUGCUCCUCACAUGGUUGACACUACUGUUUACUUCGUCAUUGCUUCUAUCGACCCUCUUCUUCACUCCAUUUAUUUUCAAUAAAGAGCUCUAAUUUGAGCUCUAUUGAAUUAAAUCACCUCAUUGCAUGCAAGCCACUUUGGUACUUCACCAAAUCACCACUACUCCCUUUCGUUUCCUUUGCUUAUCAUCCUUCAGAUUUCGAAAUUCCGGCCAAGAUUUGAGUUGGGUUCUCCGGAAUUGCUGGUCUGAAUGCGAAACAAGACUUCCCAGUUCAGAAAUUCAAAUGGGUAUUAGCAAUUCUGCAAGUCUAUAAAUGUACUCAACGUUUAUAAUUUGAGAUGUCUAGGCACUUAGUUGAGAUGGCUCGGUGCUCAGAAGAAAUGGACAUUGCCAUUGGAGCUGCGGAACAACCUUGAGAAGGCAUUUUUAGAGCAGGGUAGAGCCUUAUUGAGAUUUGAAGCGCAAUGGAAAGAUCUUAAGACGGGACAUACGAGAGAGCUUGAGCAGCGUCAUUUGCAACUGCAACAAAGGGGUAUCUCAGUACCUUUAACUUGGAGACAGUACUUCCCUACGACAAAUCAGAAUCCCACCUUGUUGAGUAACAAUACUACUCCUCGAUGGAGUGAGACUAACAAACCUCUACCUCUGCCUCCUAGAGAUAGCACAACAAAACUAUUUUGUGACAUAUGCAAGAUUUUUUGUGACACUAAGAUGGUACUUGAUAAGCAUAAAAUGGGAAAGAAGCACCAGAUGAACCUGGGGAAAUUGAAAGGCAAAACUAUUACUGGACAAACGAGUAAGAAGAAGGCAGAUUCUGCACCUGAAGACGAUUUGCAGACUAAGAAACGGAGGGUUAUUGAAGGUGGUGCGGCACCCCAUAGUUUAAGGACAUGUUCCAUAUGUAACGUGGUCAGUAUUAGUGCGACAGAUUUCUAUAAACAUCUUGCCGGACAGCGACAUAGAGAAGCUGCUGCAUCGAUGAGUAAUGCAGCUGGGUCGAGUAGCUACGGCCAGCUGAGAAUAAGGAACUAGGGUGGGAAACUGGUAAUAACUUGUAAUUGGUAGUAGUUGUACACAGAAGAACCAGCCUUUUCUCAUUUCAUACAAUUCACACCUUU